rnacentral:rRNA from 1 species
GAUGAACGCUGGCGGCGUGCCUAAUACAUGCAAGUCGAGCGAACGGACGAGAAGCUUGCUUCUCUGAUGUUAUCGGCGGACGGGUGAGUAACACGUGGAUAACCUACCUAUAAGACUGGGAUAACUUCGGGAAACCGGAGCUAAUACCGGAUGAUAUUUUGAACUUCAUGGUUCAAAAGUGAAAGACGGUCUUGCUGUCACUUAUAGAUUGAUCCGCGCUGCAUUAGCUAGUUGGUAAGGUAACGGCUUACCAAGGCAACGAUGCAUAGCCGACCUGAGAGGGUGGACGGCCACCCGGGAACUGAGGCACGGUCCAGACUCCUACGGGAGGCAGCAGUAGGGAAUCUUCCGCGAUGGGGGAAAGCCUGACGGAGCAACGCCGCGUGAGUGAUGAAGGUCUUCGGAUCGUAGAGCUAUGUUAUUAGGGAAGAACAUAUGUGUAAGUAACUGUGCACAUCUUGACGGUACCUAAUCAGAAAGCCACGGCUAACUACGUG